rnacentral:tRNA from 1 species
GCGGGUAUAGCUCAAGUGGUAGAGCACAUGCUUAGCAUGCACAAGGUCCUGGGUUCAAUUCCCAGUACCUCCU